GGGACCCGCACAAGCAGCGGAGCAUGUGGUUUAAUUCGAAGCUAACGCGAAGAACCUUACCAGGGCUUGACAUCCCUCUGACAGUCCUUAACCGGGACCCUUCUUCGGACAGAGGAGACAGGUGGUGCAUGGUUGUCGUCAGCUCGUGUCGUGAGAUGUUGGGUUAAGUCCCGCAACGAGCGCAACCCUUGUCUUUAGUUGCCAUCAUUCAGUUGGGCACUCUAGAGAGACUGCCGAGGACAACUCGGAGGAAGGUGGGAUGACGUCAAAUCAUCAUGCCCCUUAUGUCCUGGGCUACACACGUGCUACAAUGGCUGGUACAAAGAGACGCAAGACCGCGAGGUGGAGCAAAUCUCAAAAACCAGUCCCAGUUCGGAUUGCAGGCUGCAACUCGCCUGCAUGAAGUCGGAGUUGCUAGUAAUCGCGGAUCAGCACGCCGCGGUGAAUACGUUCCCGGGCCUU
rnacentral:rRNA from 2 species